ACUGAGGCAUUAAGGGGCUUAGAAGCUUGCUCAAGGUCACACAUCAGUAAUUAAAUCAGGUGGUUCACAUCCAGGCCAACUCUCUUAACCAGUUCUUUGGGGUAAAUAAGAUACUAAGCUGAAAAAUAUGACUUGCUUCAAACACCUUGCUAUCAAGAGGGAAGCUUUGAAAAUGAUUAUAACUUAUUAUUCGUUGAAAAAAGAGUCAAUCAAGAUUCUUGAAAUUUUUUGGAACAGCUAUCUCAGUAAAAUGAAGAAUUCCUUGAAGACACCUCCGGCAUCUCGAGCUCCUUCAUGUUUGUGUCCUAGCACAUGAUGCUCCCUCAGGC